rnacentral:rRNA from 1 species
AAUCAACGCUGGCGGCGUGCCUCAGACAUGCAAGUCGAACGCGAAAUUUCCCUUCGGGGAGAAAGUAGAGUGGCGCACGGGUGAGUAACACGUAGGUAAUUUGCCUUUGGGUGGGGAAUAACUCAGGGAAACUUGAGCUAAUACCGCAUAAUGCAGCGGCUCGACAUCGAGACAGUUGUUAAAGCGGGGGAUUGGAGCAAUCCGACCUCGCGCCUAAAGAGAAGCCUGCGGCAGAUUAGCUAGUUGGUAAGGUAAUGGCUUACCAAGGCGACGAUCUGUAACCGGCCUGAGAGGGCGGUCGGUCACACUGACACUGACAUACGGGUCAGACCUCG